rnacentral:rRNA from 1 species
CCUACGGGUGGCAGCAGUGAGGAAUAUUGGUCAAUGGGCGCGAGCCUGAACCAGCCAAGUAGCGUGAAGGAUGACUGUCCUACGGGUUGUAAACUUCUUUUAUAAAGGAAUAAAGUGAGGCAUGCGUGCCUUUUUGUCUGUACCUUAUUAAUAAGGAUCGGCUAACUCCGUGCCAGAAGCCGCGGCAAUACGGAGGAUCCGAGGGUUAUCCGGAUUUAUUGGGUUUAAAGGGAGCGUAGUUGGGUUGUUAAGUCAGUUGUGAAAGUUAUCGGUUCAACCGUAAAAUUGCAAUUGAUACUGGCAGCCUUGAGUACAGUUGAGGUAGGCGGAAUUCGUGGUGUAGCGGUGAAAUGCUUAGAUAUCACGAAGAACUCCGAUUGCGAAGGCAGCCUACUAAACUGCCACUGACAUUGAUGCUCGAAAGUGUGGGUAUCAAACAGGAUUAGAUACCCCUGUAGUC